rnacentral:rRNA from 1 species
UACAGAGGUGGCAAGCGUUGUUCGGAAUUACUGGGCGUAAAGUGUGCGCAGGCGGCCGAGCAAGUCGAGUGUGAAAGCCCCGGGCUUAACCUGGGAACUGCGCUCGAAACUACUUGGCUUGAGUGUGGCAGAGGGAGGUGGAAUUCCACGUGUAGCGGUGAAAUGCGUAGAGAUGUGGAGGAACACCGAUGGCGAAGGCAGCCUCCUGGGCCAACACUGACGCUCAUGCACGAAAGCGUGGGGAGCAAACAGG